UACAGAGGGUGCGAGCGUUGUUCGGAAUUACUGGGCGUAAAGCGCGCGCAGGCGGACGAGCAAGUCAGGGGCGAAAUUCUGGGGCUCAACCCCGGGCCUGCAGUGGGUACGGGCAGACUAGAGUGCGGUAGGGGAGACUGGAAUUCCUGGUGUAGCGGUGGAAUGCGCAGAUAUCAGGAGGAACACCGAUGGCGAAGGCAGGUCUCUGGGCCGCAACUGACGCUGAGGAGCGAAAGCGUGGGGAGCGAACAGG
rnacentral:rRNA from 1 species